rnacentral:tRNA from 1 species
GCGCCAUUGGCGCAAGGCGUAGCAUUGCUGCCUGGAAAGCAGAAGAUGCGGGUUCGAGUCCCACCUGGAGCA